ensembl:lncRNA
UUAUUGUGUCAUUUUUAAAUAUUUAAACUACAGACAUGAGAAAAUCGUAUAAUGUGCUCCUAUUAACACGUGUGGUGUUGCACUUUACAUUUGACUGGAAUUGUUCUUUAUUUAUUAAGUCAAUGUUUGAGAGAAGAAAGUCUUUAGAAAGGAGUCUUAAAAUCUAGCUUUUUAUUUAUAUCAUGAAAGAAAACACACAAAAACAAAUGUUAGGUGCAACAGAGGGGCAACAAAUAACCUUAACUGAGAAAAUGACAAACCUUACUUACAGAAAUCUGAAUUGUCUGGUGUGUAUUUUAGAGGCAUUUCAUGAUCAACCUCAUUUCAGGAUAAUUGUUUGAGUAUAUGUAUAUGUACUGUUUUUUGAUAUUCAACAAUAUACUACAGUUUAGGAUUUAGAGUAUCACAUUUUAUAAUGUAGCCUCCCAGUGUGUGAACUUUUCCUGCUUUCCCUGAUUUGUGAAUGUGAAAAACACCCAAAGUGCCUAACUUAUUUUUAUCUGUAAUUUUGUCAAAGCUACAUGAUAUAAAUAAAUAAAUUCAAGUUUGUUUGUUUUUUUAUCAGCAGCGUGAAAUUACACAUUUAUGGGGGGCUGGGGAGUUGCUAAGUAUGCUGCCUUUAUUUUUAAAGGGCUUUUUGUGUGGGUGGAAGAGGAUUUUUAUUUUCCUCUUGUUUGAUCAAAAAUCUUUUCUUCCCCCCUCCAUCAUGUUUUAGCCAUAGACAGCAGAAAUGAUGGAUUUAGCUUACAAAUCUGAAAAGUGAAGCCAAUGUUUUUGACUUAAACCUUCUAUUUAAUGCCCAUCAUGGGGCAAACAAGAUUUUCAGUACUGUGGGAGCCUAUGGGAAGUGGCCUAGUGAUGAAAUUACAGGCUCAUCUACACGCUUCAAAAUGGGACAUCAUGGUGGAGUUAUCCAUCAUUUUAUAUUCUAUGGUUGUAUGUAAUGUAAUAAAAAUCUAAAAUGUUUUUUACUUUGUUUUACUUGUGAAUUUCCAAUUAGAAUCAAUAAUCGAGUUUAGUGAUGAAGUAAAAACGAAUUUAGAUGCAAACAUUUUUUAUUUAUGCCUUCUGUUACAGUCACUGACCCCGACUAACUUAAAGCAACACACUAAAAACAUCCACUGUUACACUGAACCUGCUGACCGACAUUAAAAUGUCUUACUUUAUCUCAGUGCUUUGCAACACGCGCAUACACACUCAGACAUUUUUGUUCAUGCAAACACAAAGACACACACACACACCUUCAUGUUAACUGAGGCAGGCACUCUUUAAAAAAAGGUGAAUCACAUUUUUAUCAAACAUCAUAAACACAAGGACCUGAUGUUGAUUGCAUGAACCAGUAUGGUGUUUGUUGGCAGAGGAUCAAAAGAUGGAAAUAUAUGCAUGGGGACCAAAUACAUUAGUAGGUCAAAAAAAAAAAAAAAAAAAAAAAAAAAUCACAGCAAACAUUAGUUUGACAUUAACAUGAUCUGUGUCCCUGACAUUUUUUAAACAUGCAUAUAUUUCCAUCCACCUUUUAUAACUUCGCCAACACACUGUAAACUUCAUAGUAGCAAUAGUGUAAAACAGCAACAACGUAACAGGUAUUUACGAAAGUGCAACCACACAGUUUUGUAACUCUGCCCACUUAAAAAGUAAUAAUAAUAAAAUUGCAUCCAACAACCAUUUAAUUUUUUUUUUUUUAAAUUCGGCUCAAGCCUGCUUUAAUGUCACCUGAGGAUGACACUCCUUGAACAUCCCAGUUUGACCACUUUCAAUUGCACAUCUUCGAUUUCCAAACGCAAAGGAAACACACUAGGUCUGGAGCACUACUGGGAUUGUAUUCACUAUUCACAGAGAAGUCAAGUCUAGGGUAGCACAAGGUCUACGGUGACCAUCAGGGCCGCAAUUUCCAGGGGGGGAUAGGGGGGUAUGACCCCCCCAAUAAUUAGACAUUAAUUAGGGGCAGUCAUGCAGAUCCUUACAUUUAUACUUGGUGGGCGCACCCCUAAUGGUCAUUUACAGCAUCCAACACAACUUUCCUAAAUGACCAUAUAUGGAUAUACGUAGCUGAUGUGUCUGUGUGUGACACCAAUGCUCAAGCCCCUAUCAAACAGGAUGUGUGGGGGUAUGCCGUACCCUCAUUGCACCUCAGGGAGAAGGGUAACAAACUUCCUCUCUCUUUCCUGUUUCUGUUCCAUACAUUCCUAGCAUCCCCCAACUGUGGCUUCCUAUUUCCUUUUAUGACAGGCAGACCCCCACUUUUACAUUACAGUUACAAAUUACACACACACACUCAGGCUUAUAGCUAAACCAGCCUAAAACACGCACACACAUUCACAAAUCCUUUCUUAUUCCUCUGAUUUACAGCUGGACCCUAUCAUCUAAACAAACUUCAUCACAUUUUAUUCUAAUCGUUUUCUUGUGCUCACAACACCCGGC